UACGAAGGGGGCUAGCGUUGCUCGGAAUCACUGGGCGUAAAGGGCGCGUAGGCGGAUCUUUAAGUCGGGGGUGAAAUCCUGGAGCUCAACUCCAGAACUGCCUUUGAUACUGGCGACCUUGAGUCCGGGAGAGGUGAGUGGAACUGCGAGUGUAGAGGUGAAAUUCGUAGAUAUUCGCAAGAACACCAGUGGCGAAGGCGGCUCACUGGCCCGGUACUGACGCUGAGGUGCGAAAGCGUGGGGAGCAAACAGG
rnacentral:rRNA from 1 species